UUAUACAGAUUUAUUAUAAAAUAUAUACAGCGUUUCUGGUUCAGCCAUUUAUAUGAUCUGGAAAAGUACACUAUCGACUAUGAUCUCCGGAUGAGAAGAAUUUAUCAGCUUUGACUUGUAGAUACGGAUUUGUUGCCGAAGAGGCAACAAAUACGUUCAUGAGCAAGGAGUAUUAGGCUGAUGGCAGAAAACGAGACGAAGCGUUUACCCGUAGACCUUAUAAAUAUGGACUGGCAAUUGCUAUAGGUUCUCUUAUAGCAAUUGCUAUAAGAAACAGUGUCCGCGGGAAGUUAGACAGAGAGACGCACUUUUUGAUACUUCUUUCUCUUAAGAUGUCCGAAAAUAUGUAUUGCAAAUUCGAAGCAUAUGGCGGAUUAAUAUAAUAAUAUGAUCGAAAAUAAUAAAUGUUGAUGAAGAGUAAAGAAUGAAAGAUUUUAUAGUCAAACAUAUAAAAUGCAAUAAAA